GUAGGUGGCAAGCGUUGUCCGGAAUUAUUGGGCGUAAAGCGCGCGCAGGCGGUUCUUUAAGUCUGAUGUGAAAGCCCACGGCUCAACCGUGGAGGGUCAUUGGAAACUGGAGAACUUGAGUACAGAAGAGGAAAGCGGAAUUCCACGUGUAGCGGUGAAAUGCGUAGAGAUGUGGAGGAACACCAGUGGCGAAGGCGGCUUUUCUGGUCUGUAACUAGACGCUGAGGCGCGAAAGCGUGGGAGCAACAGGAUUAGAUACCUGGUAGUCCACGCCGUAACGAUGAGUGCUAAGUGUUAGGGGGUUUCCGGUCCCCCUUACGUGCUGCAGCUAACGCAUUAAGCACUCCGCCUGGGGAGUACGGCCGCAAGGCUG
rnacentral:rRNA from 1 species